UGUGUACUCCCACCGUUCCAAAAUACUUGACUUACAUUUGUCCAAAAAUGGAUGUACCUAUAUACUAAAACAUGUCUAGAUACAUAUAUAUUUUGACAAAUAGAAGGCAUGUAUUGUGCAACGGAGGGAGUAGAAU
rnacentral:pre_miRNA from 1 species